rnacentral:rRNA from 1 species
UCCUACGGGAGGCAGCAGUGGGGAAUAUUGGACAAUGGGCGAAAGCCUGAUCCAGCAAUGCUGCGUGAGUGAUGAAGGCCUUAGGGUUGUAAAGCUCUUUUACCCGGGAAGAUAAUGACGGUACCGGGAGAAUAAGCCCCGGCUAACUCCGUGCCAGCAGCCGCGGUAAUACGGAGGGGGCUAGCGUUGUUCGGAAUUACUGGGCGUAAAGCGCACGUAGGCGGCUUUGCAAGUCAGAGGUGAAAGCCCGGGGCUCAACCCCGGAAUUGCCUUUGAGACUGCAUCGCUAGAGUUUUGGAGAGGUGAGUGGAAUUCCGCCUGUAGAGGAGAAUU